rnacentral:rRNA from 1 species
UACGAAGGGGGCUAGCGUUGUUCGGAAUCACUGGGCGUAAAGCGCACGUAGGCGGAUCUUUAAGUCAGGGGUGAAAUCCCGAGGCUCAACCUCGGAACUGCCUUUGAUACUGGCGAUCUUGAGUCCGGGAGAGGUGAGUGGAACUGCGAGUGUAGAGGUGAAAUUCGUAGAUAUUCGCAAGAACACCAGUGGCGAAGGCGGCUCACUGGCCCGGUACUGACGCUGAGGUGCGAAAGCGUGGGGAGUAAACAGG